rnacentral:rRNA from 1 species
AUGGGAGACAAGUACACUUGGAGAAAUCAUAGCCAUGAAGCAAGUAAAUACAUAAAAGAGAGACUUGAUAGAGUUGUGGGGUCUCAGAAUUGGUGUACUAGAUUUCCAUCAUACAAGGUAAUAAUAGGGGAUCCGAGGCACUUAGACUACCGACCAGUGACUGUCUAUGUAGAAGGAACGGACAGAGCCAUGUGACACCAAGGAAAUGGUCAGUCUGAUUUCAGAUUCGAGGCGAAGUGGCUACAGGAAGAAGGUUGCGAGGAGGUCAUAAGCAACGCAUGGUAUACUGCAUACUUGAGGGGCGAAAAUAGCCUAUCACAAAAACUUAGAAGAGUGGCAGGAGACCUAAAGAGCUAGGAUACUAAUGUCCUAGGUGAUUUGGAGAAGAGGAUAAAGGCGAUUAAAGUCGAGUUGGAGAAGACGAGAAGGGCACCAAUAAACCAGGGCACAAUAGACCGAGAACACAUUCUGCGGGAAAAACUAGAGAGAUUAGAACAACAGCAAGACAUGUUUUGGAGGCAGAGAGCACAUGUUAAAUGGCUCCAAGAUGGUGACAAAAACACUGCUUUUUUCAUGCUUGUGCCUCGAGAGAGAAAAAAGAAAAAUACAGGAGGUUAA